UACGUAGGGUGCGAGCGUUAAUCGGAAUUACUGGGCGUAAAGCGUGCGCAGGCGGGCUUUUAAGCCAGACGUGAAAUCCCCGGGCUUAACCUGGGAAUGGCGUUUGGGACUGGGAGUCUGGAGUGCGGCAGAGGAGACUGGAAUUCCUGGUGUAGCAGUGAAAUGCGUAGAUAUCAGGAGGAACACCGAUGGCGAAGGCAGGUCUCUGGGCUGACACUGACGCUCAUGCACGAAAGCGUGGGGAGCAAAC
rnacentral:rRNA from 1 species